rnacentral:rRNA from 1 species
UACGUAGGGCCCGAGCAUUAUCCGGAAUUAUUGGGCGUAAAGAGCGUGUAGGUGUUCCUACAAGUCGGUCGUUAAAUCUCAGAGCUCAACUCUGAGGCCGCGAGCGAAACUGUAGGAAUUGAGGUUUACAGGGGCAAGCAGAAUUUCUGGAGUAGGGGUGAAAUCCGUUGAUACCAGAAGGAAUACCAAUGGCGAAGGCAGCUUGCUGGGUAACACCUGACACUGAGACGCGAAAGCGUGGGGAGCAAACAGG